UACGUAUGGUGCAAGCGUUAUCCGGAUUUACUGGGUGUAAAGGGAGCGUAGGCGGCGCGUUAAGUCUGAUGUGAAAACCCGAGGCUCAACCACGGGAGUGCAUUGGAAACUGGCGGGCUGGAGUGCCGGAGAGGUAAGCGGAAUUCCUAGUGUAGCGGUGAAAUGCGUAGAUAUUAGGAGGAACACCAGUGGCGAAGGCGGCUUACUGGACGGCAACUGGCGCUGAGGCUCGAAAGCGUGGGGAGCAAACAGG
rnacentral:rRNA from 1 species